rnacentral:rRNA from 1 species
CAGGGGGGGCAAGCGUUGUUCGGAAUUACUGGGCGUAAAGGGCUCGUAGGCGGCCAACUAAGUCACACGUGAAAUCCCCAGGCUUAACCUGGGAACUGCGUGUGAUACUGGAUGGCUUGAAUUCGGGAGAGGGAUGCAGAAUUCCAGGUGUAACGGUGAAAUGCGUAGAUAUCUGGAGGAAUACCGGUGGCGAAGGCGGCAUCCUGGACCGACAUUGACGCUGAGGAGCGAAAGCUAGGGGAGCAAACGGGAUUAGAUACCCCGGUAGUCCUAGCCCUAAACGAUGAAUGCUUGGUGUGGCGGGCAUCGAUCCCUGCCGUGCCGAAGCUAACGCAUUAAGCAUUCCGCCUGGGGGAGUACGGUCGCAAGGCUG